rnacentral:ncRNA from 1 species
ACCAGAAGAGGCGCGUUACUCAGGCAAGCAGCGGAGAAAUUCAGAUUUCCGUGAAGCUGCGCAGGGGAUGUAACGCCGAGGUGCAGAAAAAUCUGAAAGUUGAUGCACCGGCUGCAAAGGCUGAAUCCUUUGGGCUGUCACGAUUGUGAAGCGCUUCUGG